UUACUGGGCGUAAAGCGAGCGCAGACGGUUACUUAAGCAGGAUGUGAAAUCCCCGGGCUCAACCUGGGAACUGCGUUCUGAACUGGGUGACUAGAGUGUGUCAGAGGGAGGUAGAAUUCCACGUGUAGCAGUGAAAUGCGUAGAGAUGUGGAGGAAUACCGAUGGCGAAGGCAGCCUCCUGGGAUAACACUGACGUUCAUGCUCGAAAGCGUGGGUAGCAAACAGGAUUAGAUACCCUGGUAGUCCACGCCCUAAACGAUGUCAAUUAGCUGUUGGGCAACUUGAUUGCUUAGUAGCGUAGCUAACGCGUGAAAUUGACCGCCUGGGGAGUACGGUCGCAAGAUUAAAACUCAAAGGAAUUGACGGGGACCCGCACAAGCGGUGGAUGAUGUGGAUUAAUUCGAUGCAACGCGAAGAACCUUACCUGGUCUUGACAUGUACGGAAUCCUCCAGAGACGGAGGAGUGCCUUCGGGAACCGUAACACAGGUGCUGCAUGGCUGUCGUCAGCUCGUGUCGUGA
rnacentral:rRNA from 1 species